AGUGAACGCUGGCGGUAGGCCUAACACAUGCAAGUCGAACGGCAGCACAGGAGAGCUUGCUCUCUGGGUGGCGAGUGGCGGACGGGUGAGGAAUACAUCGGAAUCUACUCUGUCGUGGGGGAUAACGUAGGGAAACUUACGCUAAUACCGCAUACGACCUACGGGUGAAAGCAGGGGACCUUCGGGCCUUGCGCGAUUGAAUGAGCCGAUGUCGGAUUAGCUAGUUGGCGGGGUAAAGGCCCACCAAGGCGACGAUCCGUAGCUGGUCUGAGAGGAUGAUCAGCCACACUGGAACUGAGACACGGUCCAGACUCGUACGGGAGGCAGCAGUGGGGAAUAUUGGACAAUGGGCGCAAGCCUGGUCCAGCCAUACCGCGUGGGUGAAGAAGGCCUUCGGGUUGUAAAGCCCUUUUGUUGGGAAAGAAAUCCAGCUGGUUAAUACCCGGUUGGGAUGGCGGUACCCAAAGAAUAAGCACCGGCUAACUUCGUGCCAGCCGCCGCAGUAA
rnacentral:rRNA from 1 species